rnacentral:rRNA from 1 species
GCUUGUCUCAAAGAUUAAGCCAUGCAUGUCUAAGUGUAAAUAAGUCUAUACUGUGAAACUGCGAAUGGCUCAUUAAAUCAGUUAUCGUUUAUUUGAUGAUCUCUUACUACUUGGAUAACCGUAGUAAUUCUAGAGCUAAUACAUGCACAAAAUCCCGACUUACGAAGGGAUGUAUUUAUUAGAUACAAACCAACCGAUGCUUGCAUCGUCUUGUGGUGAUUCAUAAUAACCGAACGAAUCGCAUGGCUUUGCUGGCGAUAUAUCUUCUAAGUUUCUGACCUAUCAGCUUUCGACGGUAAGGUAUUGGCUUACCGUGGCAAUGACGGGUAACGGAGAAUUAGGGUUCGAUUCCGGAGAGGGAGCCUGAGAAACGGCUACCACAUCUAAGGAAGGCAGCAGG